UCGAAGGCCGGGCGAGCGGACGGGGUAAGAGGUCGGGCGCGAUCGUGGUCGGGAAGUAGUGGGCGUAAAUAGCUGGUAGGCGGCUGGUCGCGUCGGGUCUGAAAGCCCGGGGGUUAACCCCGGGGCUGCAGUCGAUACGGGCAGGCUAGAGUGUGGUAGGGGAGAUCGGAAUUCCUGGUGUAGCGGUGAAAUGCGCAGAUAUCAGGAGGAACACCGGUGGCGAAGGCGGAUCUCUGGGCCAUUACUGACGCUGAGGAGCGAAAGCGUGGGGAGCGAACAGGAUUAGAUACCCUAGUAGUC
rnacentral:rRNA from 1 species